rnacentral:rRNA from 1 species
CCUACGGGAGGCAGCAGUGAGGAAUAUUGGUCAAUGGGCGAGAGCCUGAACCAGCCAAGUAGCGUGAAGGAUGACUGCCCUACGGGUUGUAAACUUCUUUUAUAAAGGAAUAAAGUGAGGCACGUGUGCCUUUUUGUAUGUACUUUAUGAAUAAGGAUCGGCUAACUCCGUGCCAGCAGCCGCGGUAAUACGGAGGAUCCGAGCGUUAUCCGGAUUUAUUGGGUUUAAAGGGAGCGUAGGUGGGUGGUUAAGUCAGUUGUGAAAGUUUGCGGCUCAACCGUAAAAUUGCAAUUGAAACUGGCAGCCUUGAGUACAGGUGAGGUAGGCGGAAUUCGUGGUGUAGCGGUGAAAUGCUUAGAUAUCACGAAGAACUCCGAUUGCGAAGGCAGCUUACUAAACUGCCACUGACAUUGAUGCUCGAAAGCGUGGGUAUCAAACAGGAUUAGAUACCCGAGUAGUC